rnacentral:rRNA from 1 species
GACGAACGCUGGCGGCGUGCUUAACACAUGCAAGUCGAACGGAAAGGCCCUGCUUUUGUGGGGUGCUCGAGUGGCGAACGGGUGAGUAACACGUGAGUAACCUGCCCUUGACUUUGGGAUAACUUCAGGAAACUGGGGCUAAUACCGGAUAGGAGCUCCUGCUGCAUGGUGGGGGUUGGAAAGUUUCGGCGGUUGGGGAUGGACUCGCGGCUUAUCAGCUUGUUGGUGGGGUAGUGGCUUACCAAGGCUUUGACGGGUAGCCGGCCUGAGAGGGUGACCGGCCACAUUGGGACUGAGAUACGGCCCAGACUCCUACGGGAGGCAGCAGUGGGGAAUAUUGCACAAUGGGCGGGAGCCUGAUGCAGCAACGCCGCGUGCGGGAUGACGGCCUUCGGGUUGUAAACCGCUUUCGCCUGUGACGAAGCGUGAGUGACGGUAAUGGAUAAAGAAGCACCGGCUAACUACGUG